AUUGGUUGUUAAAUAUUAUGGGACUUUAAUAAUUCUAAUUUCAGAAGAAAUGAUCACAAAAGAGUCAAUGCACAGUGAAAAGAAACACAAGGUCAAGGAGACCAACAAUUUCUGUGGGAUUGAGGAGGAUCUACACCAAAACAGAGGACUUGUUUUGCAGUUCAAGGAAGUAGCUGUUUGACAAAUUCAGACAUUGGCCUUCCUCAUGCCAGGUUCCUACAGAACAAGAGGAAAGGAUGAAACAGAGAACCAUAUCAUUAAAAACAAAGAGGAGCUAAUCAUAUGACAAAAAGAUGGAAUGGCAGGAAUAAUAAAGUGGAGGAAUCCCAUGGAGACUGGAACAAUCUCCAGGAAGUAAUGCAGCGCGAGAGGAGCAGAACCAGGAGAACAUUGUACACAGAGACUGACACACUGUGGUACAAUCGAAGGUAAUGGACUUCUCCAUUAGUGGCAAUGCAAUGUCCCUGAACAAUCUGCAGAGAUCUAAAAAACAUUAUC
rnacentral:lncRNA from 1 species